AGUCCUGAAAAGUUUCUUCAAAGAAACUCUCAGACUGGAACUGGUGCAGCUUUGCAGAGUGGAGCUCUCACUGUACUUCAAAGCAGAGAAAAUCUUGCAGCUGUCUGGAGCCCGCUUGCCCCAGGAGGUGUCACUGUUGGGACUAGCAGGGUGAGCUCCAGAUCUGCUCUUUAUUUUUUAAAGGCUACACUGACCACGAGGUAUGUAGUCUGCUAUUCAACACAUCUCCACAGUCUGCGUGAAGCUACAAGACCAGUCUUGGUCCGGAAGCCAGGAGAUCCUGCCUCUCUGCUCCUUGCUUUAACUCCACGUGCUUUGGAGGAGGAGUUAUCUGAGUUUCCCUCUCUGUAGAGCAGGAAUUCUAGCAUACAUGAAAUGUUCAGGGAACCUUGUUGGACAUUCGUGCAAAGGACAGUUUGAUGAUGUGAAAGGCCCAUUUAUUGUGGAGCAAGCUAAGACAGAAGAAUGAGCGAGUGAAGUUUAAGACUCAGAUCUGCAAACCUUUUGACAAUCCUAUGCCAAGGUUUGUGUAAUGAAACCAGAUGACUGAUGAGACCCGCCCUAAUGCUCCUGGGUUAUGUCCUGCCUGAUGGGCUGCCACAGAAGUGCUAAAACCAUCACACACAAAGGCACCAUGGGACACCCACCAUCAACAUGAGCUCUCUACCUGCCACUGGCACUAGCUGUCAGAACCGCUUUAUCUGAAAUCAAGAUAGUUAAAUUUCUAAAGGAUAAAAGGACUGGAAGAAAGUUCCCUAGUUCUUUUCACACGUCUGCACUUCUUGGUUUACAGUCUGUUCACUGCCUGGAAGGAGAAAAAGAAAAGAAAAUGAAGAAAAGAAGAACGAAUGUUAUGGCAUCCCUGCCUUCCUGAGCCUGGUAGUACAGCCAGUCACAGUCUCAGCCUUUUAUAGCUCAGCUUUCCCAGUAGUUUGAGGAGCAUUUCCUCCCAGCCUUGGCUCUCAGAUGUCAGAGCUGAUAGAGAAAUAAGGGAAAUGUCUUGGUAACUAGCAAUCUCUCGUGUUUUUUUCUAGGAUCUUGUGUUUCCCAUAAAAGAUAGUUUCUCUAGAGCAAGUUAAAAGGAAGACAUUUUGCAAGUUCAUUUGAAGAAUCUGCAUCAAAAAUAUGUUUGAGGGAUCUCCUUUAUGAUUCUGAAAACGAAGUUGUAAUGGAGCAGUCGUUUCUUAAGUUGUAUUUAUAAUGGGAAUUCUCAGAAAUCCCAAUCAGGAAUUAUUGCAGCAUUAUACGAGUCUGAAAUUCCUGGUAGCUCUAUGCUUAACACUUCCUAAGGCCCUAUGGCAGCCUAUGGUUUUCUGUUCACAUAUUUACUCUGUGUGACUGAAAUUUAUGUAGACUUUACUAUUUAUUUGAAUGAAAUUAACUGAUCUUUGGCCAUCUUGGACAAACCUGAAGAACUGAUUUAUUUAUUAUUGGGGACAAAUCUGGAAAAAUACUUAUGUUUAUCUGUAAUUUUCUUAUUUUUACCUUACUUGUUUAAGCACAGCGCUUUCCUGUGAAGUUUGUAUAGGAAUAUACUUGAAUGUUUUGCUAAGGUAAGUUCAAAGAUUGGAUCUGUUGCAAUAACAUAGGGGUGCUUUUUAAAAAUGGGAGGCAUUAAUUGUUUUUCCAUUUUCGACAGAGAAGUCCAGCACUGCAAUCCACAUAUUAAGAAUGAUCAAAUACUUUAACCAUUUGGUAGUUCCCCUCGGAUAUGUAUUGUGUUUAAAGGUUAAAGUAUGCCUUGGUGAAAAAAUGUUCAUCUGUAGCUGUUCAUUGCUAUUUUGUCAAUUGCUUCAGAUGUAAAAGUCUUUUUAUUUGGUUGAGUUUUGUUUAUUUCUCAAUGCUAAUUUUUUUCUGUAGUUUUCACCAUAUGCCAAUUUGGUAUUAUGCAUUACAGUGGGUUUGAAUUUUGGCUUCUCUUUGGAGUAUUUUACAAGCAGAGAGAUUUUACACACUAAAAUGCUUUCUGUAGAACACAGCUGUAAAAAAAAAAACAAAACCAAACCAAGGUGAAGUAAUUCAGUCUCCUUGAAAUGUAUUCUCUUCCAAAUGCGUUUAUGUAAUUUUACAUAAUUCUUUUGGCAGGAAACUUUAUUGCCCAGCUGGGUGAAAUUAUUAACGUACCUCUCAAGCUGCAUUUUCAAAGAUCAGUAAUAUAUAUAUAAACCUCUUUGAGUGCCCUUGAUGUGUACUAUUUUUAUUGGAGACCCUCAUUCUACUUCAGUAAAAGGAUGACACAAGUUGUUUACUUAAAAAAGAGUCUUUAACAUCAUCCUGAGAAUGUUUUGAUAGAAUGACAUACAUUUGGUUAGAAUUAAUAUGCCAAACAAUGUGUCAUUGUUAUCUUACUAUGUUUGACUAGAGCCUGUAAGGAGCUUUCAAAAAAUAUCCAUCUCCGUGUUUCAGUUAAUUGAUUGCAUGUUCAGUAGUAUUAUUCUGUUUUAUAAAACUCCCUGUCCUUUUAGUUUUAUCAGAGAGAUUUUGCACUAAGGGAUGUAGUAGAAAGCAAAAGGGAAAUAUUGGUAUGGCUAAGCAUGAAAAGAUAUUGUAGUUACAUCAAGGGUAAUAUUCCUUCUGUCUGUGGAAAAAAAUGCUAAUGUGUUCCUGCUACUUCUGGGUACAAGAUGUUAUACCUGAGGGCUGAAAGUAAUAGUUGCUGGUGUGAAAGCAUUCACCAAUAUCAAGUGCAGAUGAAUGCCUUCGGAGUCAGCUGAAAGCUGAGUUAAUUGUAUUUUAGCUUAAUAUUUGAACUUAUACUCCGUCUGGUAUAAUAAAUGAUGGGUGACUUAAUUUUAUUCAAACUUUAUUAGCAGUAUUCUUAAAGGACCCAAAUUCUUAUCUGACAUCUUUGCUGUGUUGCAAUUUGUUUCCUUAUUUGCCAUUUUAUGAGUAAUCUAAAAUUUCACUUUUCCUUUCCUGUAUUAGGUAAAAUACAGCUUACUGUUGAAUAUUUUACUUUCUACAGACUGGAGAAUCUCAGCUAAGAUAAUUAUCUGACUUCUUAGGUAGUAGGCAUAUCUUAGUUAGUACAUGCCAUAUUGCUAACAAUUGUUUGGUGGUGACAUGAUCAAGCCAGCUGUAAUGGAAAUUAGUCUCUAUGUCACAGAAAUUCUACAUGCAAUUUUCACUCUUUGGAAUCGCUGUAGUGCCAAGUUUAGGCCUGAGAGAAAAACCUGGUGGUCCUGUGCCUCCUUUAAUCAUCCUUUUUUGUUUACAGACUUAUUGGAGAAGCCACUGAUGACAAUUCUUGUAACAGCAGGUACACACUGGCAGCAGAGAAAUGCAGAGCUUGUAGUGUUAUUCUGCUUGAUAAAAUAAGUGUGUGUCCUUGAAGUCUCCUGUGUCUCUUCCCCGUCAGACUGGUAAAGUCAUGCUACUUUUAUGAAUUCUUGGUAGGAGUGGUCAAUACUGAAUAGAGUAAUUCCCUUUUUUAAUUGUAUCUUCAAGAAAACAGUACUUGAAAAGGUCUGCUAGGUUUCAUAUGGGUGCAGAGGAAGAAAAGUGUAAGAAAUUCCUCCUCCAGUAUGCAGCUGGAGGAGAUAGUACUUGAAGGCCACCUCUGCUUCUUCGUCAGAGUGGGAAAGGAGAGACUUGCACAGAAUUGCCCUCUGCUGCUGUCCUGCCCCAUGCUGCCCUCUGAGCACCAUGGCAGGAGGAGGUUGGUGUCAUGGGUCUCUGUACCACUGCGACACAACUUGCACCACGGCCAAUGGUGCAUCAACACUCUGUGCAACAAAAUCACAUUGUCUGGUGCCUUCAAAAAACAAGAGUUUGGGCCCCUCAGUGUAUUCAGCAGCGAAUUCACUCUUUUUCAUUUCCUUGUCAACAGAGUCAAGUUGUGUUAGUUCAUGUUCUCUAGAGCAGUUUGAAUUCAAUUUAGCUGGUUAUUAAGUUACUUUGUUCAAGUGAAUUGAACGCUGGUAGGAAUGUUUGUUCAAAGGGUUAACUUAACCUUCCCCAAGGUUGUAACAGACACUGGAAGAUCAAAAGCUCCUCCGAACUCUCAGAGAAAAAAAAAGUAUUGCUUCCUUUUGCAGUCUUCAGUCAAUGUCUUCCCUCUGCAAAGCGGGUUUGCGUUUAACAUACCUAAACUCAUGGUACAAACUAUUAGUUUUGUCUGUAAUCGUAAACAUAGUUUUUCGAGUGUUUCAGUUCUUUAGAUUUAUGCAGUAGCCAUGUUUGUCAAAGUAUUUGGCACCAGUGACAUCAUCUUUGUUGAAAUGCCGGACAGCAUGAUGAGUCCCAGAUGUUAACGCACACCAAAAGUCAAGAAAGAAUUAAAUGCAAAGAUCAACUGUAACAGCUAUAGAGGAAAUAAAAAGUGAUUCUGCUUUCUUCUAGUAUUCAAAGAUAAUUGGUUGUAUUUGUUUGAGGUUUGUUUUGCAUAAAUGAUCAAUCGAGGACUGCUUUGACUACUCUGCAUAUGCAGUAUAAGGGGAGACUGAGAUGUGAAUUUGGAGGAAUGCUGAGUAAAGCAUGAUUUGACUUCAUGAUUGCAUUAUUUUCUUUUCACAGAAGUGUGUUUAGGGCUUUAGGGGGAAAAAAUCAUACCGGUAGCCAGGCAUGCUUUCAUAUUAAAUGUACAUCUACCCAAGCAUUUCAUGUUGCCUACAUAUGGUAAAGAAAGCAUUAACAAAUAAUGUAUCAUUCCAUCUAGAGCAUCCUCAGCACUACAUAAGGCUGACCUGACUAAUAUUUUCACAAAAAAUCCGGCAGAGGCACACUCUUACAUUUCUACCAACAACACUUUCUUUAGAUCGUUCUGCUGUCUAGGUAGCGGUCGCCGUCAUGAAGAAUUAUUUCCCAUAUCCACAGUUUAAAAAUUGACUUUGAAAAUGCAUACCUAGUGGUCAAAUUUGUUUCCUUAAUUUACUGCAGUGGUUCUCUAGGCUUUUUAGGCAAAAGACAAACUGUAUUAAAGCCAUGGGGAGAGAAAGGAGAUUUAGAUUUUUUACUUGCAUUGGAGUAUUGCAUUAUGUAAAGAUGAAUAAUCCGUUGGAUGUAUAAGAUCUAUGUCACUCUCUUCUCUUAAAAGGCUUCACAUUAGAAAACAAUGUAGAAAUGCAUCAAAAUAUAACCUUUUUUUGGUUCUUAGAAGAUUAUUUGUCAUCUGUUUAUUUGGAAUGAAAGUUUUGAAAGUGCUUGACAUUAAUCUCAAUACACGUUUUCUAAAACCUGAAAGUAGAGAAAGUGGUGAUGAGGUCUGUGGUGUUGGUUGGUGGUGCAAUUUUCACUCUGCUGCUUGGU